ensembl:miRNA MIR107 microRNA 107
CUCUCUGCUUUCAGCUUCUUUACAGUGUUGCCUUGUGGCAUGGAGUUCAAGCAGCAUUGUACAGGGCUAUCAAAGCAUAGA